UAAACAGUGAGCUGCAGAGAGAGGGGCCCACCGAGGAAUUCCCCGGCUCACUGGCGGGCCCCCUAGUGGAGUGCCCGAAUGGUCAGUCCGCCCCUGGGCAGAUGCAAUGUCACCGCCACAGGACACACAGCCGGGAGAGACUGGCACCAGAGUGGUCGCGCUGGAGUUUUGUGAUAUUUGAAAGGUUGAGAUGACUACAAAAUGGAAAAGCCUCUCCUUUUUACACAAAAUGCAGAAUCUCCACAGCAGCACCAAUAACAUGGGCUCCUCCAUAGCGGUACAAGGU